GAUGAACGCUGGCGGCGUGCCUAAUACAUGCAAGUCGAGCGAACGGACGAGAAGCUUGCUUCUCUGAUGUUAGCGGCGGACGGGUGAGUAACACGUGGAUAACCUACCUAUAAGACUGGGAUAACUUCGGGAAACCGGAGCUAAUACCGGAUAAUAUUUUGAACCGCAUGGUUCAAAAGUGAAAGACGGUCUUGCUGUCACUUAUAGAUGGAUCCGCGCUGCAUUAGCUAGUUGGUAAGGUAACGGCUUACCAAGGCAACGAUGCAUAGCCGACCUGAGAGGGUGAUCGGCCACACUGGAACUGAGACACGGUCCAGACCCCUACGGGAGGCAGCAGUAGGGAAUCUUCCGCAAGGGGCGAAAGCCUGACGGAGCAACGCCGCGGGAGUGAUGAAGGUCUUCGGAUCGUAAAACUCUGUUAUUAGGGAAGAACAUAUGUGUAAGUAACUGUGCACAUCUUGACGGUACCUAAUCAGAAAGCCACGGCUAACUACGU
rnacentral:rRNA from 1 species